rnacentral:rRNA from 1 species
UACGUAGGGAGCAAGCGUUGUUCGGAUUUACUGGGCGUAAAGGGCGCGUAGGCGGCGCGGUAAGUCACUUGUGAAAAUCUCUGAGCUUAACUCAGAACGGCCAAGUGAUACUGCAGUGCUAGAGUGCAGAAGGGGCAAUCGGGAAUUCUUGGAUGUAGCGGUGAAAUGACGUAGAUAUCAAGAGGAACACCUGAGGUGAAGACGGGUUGCUAGGCUGACACUGACGCUGGAGGCGCGAAAGCCAGGGGAGCAAACGGG